rnacentral:lncRNA from 1 species
GUUCGAAACUUUCUACUGUAGAGUCGGUUCGGUUGGACGAACCGAAUGUACGGACUACACAAAGACUUAGGUCGGUCGAAGAGCUGAAUAGAUGAAGCACACAGCGACUGGUCGGCAGAAAGAGCCGAAUGCCUUUAUAUAUUAAAAUAAAAUUGAGAACUCAUACAAAACAAAGUGUGCUCGAAUGGCAUAUAGACUCUGAAAAUCUAGAUUAUAACAGAGUGUGCCCGUGGGGCAUACAGAUUCCAGAGAUUUAACUUAAAAACUACUCCUAGAAAAGCAAUAAAUGCGAACAAAAAAGAUUACAUAUAGACUACUCCUAAAAAGCGAUAAAUGUAAGAAAGGAAAGUAUUGAAAAUGCGAUAGUCUUCUCGUUAAGGGGAGAAAAAGACCUCUAUUACAGACUUCAAAGUUACUAUUUAUAAUAUCUUAUCAACCAACAUUAUUAGUUGGUUAUCGUAGUGGGGGAAUUGGUGUAGCCAUGAUCAUGAAAGUUACGCCCACUUCUUAUGGAAGUUACGCCCCACUUCACAUGGAAGUUAUACCCCACUUCUCAUGGAAGUUACGCCCCACUUCAUAUGGAAGUUACGUCCCACUUCUCAACCGUUCCCGCCUAAACGCUCUUAACCUUCAGGCGCCUUAUUGUCGACUCCUAGUGUA